rnacentral:rRNA from 1 species
CGGCGGACGGGUGAGUAAUGUAUGGGGAUCUGCCCGAUGGAGGGGGAUAACUACUGGAAACGGUAGCUAAUACCGCAUAACGUCGCAAGACCAAAGAGGGGGACCUUAGGGCCUCUUGCCAUCGGAUGUGCCCAGAUGGGAUUAGCUAGUAGGUGGGGUAACGGCUCACCUAGGCGACGAUCCCUAGCUGGUCUGAGAGGAUGACCAGCCACACUGGGACUGAGACACGGCCCAG